rnacentral:rRNA from 1 species
ACGUACCGUUCGAACAGGGCGGUACCUUGACGGUACCUGACGAGAAAGCCACGGCUAACUACGUGCCAGCAGCCGCGGUAAUACGUAGGUGGCAAGCGUUGUCCGGAUUUAUUGGGCGUAAAGCGCGCGCAGGCGGCUAUGUAAGUCUGGUGUUAAAGCCCGGGGCUCAACCCCGGUUCGCAUCGGAAACUGUGUAGCUUGAGUGCAGAAGAGGAAAGCGGUAUUCCACGUGUAGCGGUGAAAUGCGUAGAGAUGUGGAGGAACACCAGUGGCGAAGGCGGC